rnacentral:rRNA from 1 species
UGAGUACGAGACGCUAAGGCGUCGAAGUAGUGGAUGUCAUACUUCCAAGAAAAGCUUGCACUGUCAUAAAUAAAAACGCCUGUACCAUAACCGACACAGGUGGGUAGGUAGAGUAUACUAAGGGGCGCGAGAUAACUCUCUCUAAGGAACUCGGCAAAAUAACUCCGUAACUUCGGGAGAAGGAGUGCCUUAUUCGUAAGGCUGCAAUAACAAGAUCCAAGCAACUGUUUAUCAAAAACACAGGUCUCCGCUAAGUCGUAAGACGAUGUAUGGGGGCUGACGCCUGCCCAGUGCCAGAAGGUUAAAGAGGUCGGUUAGCAUUAGCGAAGCUGGUAACUGAAGCCCUGGUGAACGGCGGCCGUGACAAUAACGGUCCUAAGGUAGCGAAAUUCCUUGUCGGGUAAGUUCCGACCCGCACGAAAGGCGUAAUGAUUUGGAUACUGUCUCGGAGAGGGGCUCGGUGAAAUAGACUUGUCUGUGAAGAUGCGGACUACCUGCACCAGGACAGAAAGACCCUAUGAAGCUUUACUGUAACUUGAAAUUGAAAUUGGACUUUAUUCGCGCAGUAUAGGUGGGAGGUGUUGAUUAUAAUCUUGCGGGAUUAUUGGAGCCAUCAGUGAGAUACCACUCUUGUAAUGUUAGAUUUCUAACUUUGAAUCAUUAUCUGGUCAAAGAACAGUUUCAGGCGGGCAGUUUGUCUGGGGCGGUCGCCUCCUAAAUGGUAACGGAGGCGUACAAAGGUUUCCUCUGAACGGGUAGAAAUCGUAUCUAGAGUGUAAAGGCAUAAGGAAGCUUGACUGUGAGACCUACAAGUCGAGCAGGGACGAAAGUCGGUCUUAGUGAUCUGACGGUACUGAGUGGAAAGGCCGUCACUCAACGGAUAAAGGUUACUCUAGGAUAACAGGCUGAUCUCCCCCAAGAGUUCACAUCGACGGGGAGGUUUGGCACCUCGAUGUCGGCUCAUCGCAUCCUGGGGCGGUAGUACGUCCCAAGGGUUGGGCUGUUCGCCCAUGAAAGCGGUACGCGAGCUGGGUUCAGAACGUCGUGAGACAGUUCGGUCCAUAUCCGGUGUAGGCGUUAGAAUAUUGAGAGGAGCCUUCUUUAGUACGAGAGGACCGAGAAGGACAUACCUCUGGUGUACCAGUUAUCGUGCCAACGGUAAACGCUGGGUAGCUAUGUAUGGAGUGGAUAACCGCUGAAAGCAUCUAAGUGGGAAGCCCACCUCAAGAUAAGUAUUCUCA